UCGCCUGUUUAUCAAAAACAUAGCCUCUUGAAAUAAUAAGAGGUCUAAGCCUGCCCAGUGGAACUAACUCUCAACGGCCGCGGUAUCUUGACCGUGCAAAGGUAGCAUAAUCACUUGUCCCUUAAAUAGGGACCUGUAUGAAUGGCAUCACAUUCUUCAACUGUCUCCUAUCUUCCUAUUUAAACUUCUAUCAACGUGAAGAAGCGUUGAUAAAAAAGAAAGACGAGAAGACCCUGUCGAGCUUAAGCCUUAAAAGAGAAUUACUAACCAACUCUUAUUAGAAAAAACUUACUCUUCCAAAGCUUUGGUUGGGGUAACCAUGGAGAAAUUAAUAUCCUCCAGCCUAAUGAAAAGGAUUAUAAACCUUUCAUAUUAUCUAACCAUAGAACCAGAAAAUUCUGGUAAUCAGAAAAAGUUACCGCAGGGAUAACAGCGUUAUCUUCUUUAAGAGUUCAUAUUGACAAGAAGGAUUGCGACCUCGAUGUUGGAUUAGGAUUACCAAAGGGUGUAGCAGCUCUUAAAGGUUGGACUGUUCGUCCAUUAAUCUCCUACGUGAUCUGAGUUCCAGACCGGA
rnacentral:rRNA from 1 species